rnacentral:rRNA from 1 species
AUGGACGCUGGCGGCGUGCUUAACACAUGCAAGUCGAACGAUGAUCCCAGCUUGCUGGGGGAUUAGUGGCGAACGGGUGAGUAACACGUGAGUAACCUGCCCUUGACUCUGGGAUAAGCCUGGGAAACUGGGUCUAAUACCGGAUAUGACUCCUCAUCGCAUGGUGGGGGGUGGAAAGCUUUUGUGGUUUUGGAUGGACUCGCGGCCUAUCAGCUUGUUGGUGGGGUAAUGGCCUACCAAGGCGACGACGGGUAGCCGGCCUGAGAGGGUGACCGGCCACACUGGGACUGAGACACGGCCCAGACUCCUACGGGAGGCAGCAGUGGGGAAUAUUGCACAAUGGGCGCAAGCCUGAUGCAGCGACGCCGCGUGAGGGAUGACGGCCUUCGGGUUGUAAACCUCUUUCAGUAGGGAAGAAGCGUAAGUGACGGUACCUGCAGAAGAAGCGCCGGCUAACUACGU